rnacentral:lncRNA from 1 species
CCACAAUUUACACAAAAUGUAUGUUUCUUUCUUAUGUUCAAUGUAUACAUGUAUACAUAUUUUAAAUUGCGCUACUGACUAUAGUUCCGUAACUUUCUACCCAGGCGUAUGUAUACACGAAUCGUCGACAAGUGCGCACAUUUUUUUAAAUCAAUAAUUCUGGUAUGUUCCAAUCUGUCCUAAACUAUUGACAACGAGUAUAUAUUACAUUUUCCCAAAUUAACCCUUGGAAAAAUAUGUAAAUAGAUUUGUAUUUCUUCAAUUUUUUUUUUGUAUUAUUUUUUUUUAUAAAUAAUAUUCUUUACACCAGAAAUGUUAUUUAUAAACAAGCGUAUGAGUUC